GGCGUCUUGCCAUGACGCGAAGUCUGAUGCGCAACGCCGCGUGCGUGAUGACGGCCUUCGGAUUGUAAAGCUCUGUUAAUCGGGACGAAUGGUUUGUGUGCAAAUAGUGCAUGGACAUGACGGUACCGGAAUAGAAAGCCACGGCUAACUACGUGCCAGCAGCCGCGGUAAUACA
rnacentral:rRNA from 1 species